GCGUCGGCCCCACAUCCCAGGGACCAGCGAGCAGCCUUGAGAGGCCUUGGCGCUCGCCUCUUCGGCGGCCCGAGGGUGCCAUGGCCGAGUGCCCGUUACGUGGGGAGGAAGUCACCGACCACCCGGACCGCCUGUGGGCCUGGGACAAGUUCGUGUAUUUGGACGAGAAGCAGCGCGCCUGGCUGCCCUUAACCAUUGAGGUACAGCCAGCUCUGGAGCGGAUGGCGAGGCAGCAGGGGCAGCCCCCGGGAGUUUGGGAUGCCCUAGGAAGGAUAGAGGAUAGGUUACGGGUGCUCUUGCGUCAGGAAGACAUCCUCCUGGGGAAUCCUAUGACCCCCAGCCAGAUAGGCCCAAGCUUGCUGCCUAUCUUGUGGCAGCUCUACCCUGAUGGACGAUACCGAUCCUCAGACUCCAGUUUCUGGCGCUUAGUGUACCACAUCAAGGCGAGUGUGUUCCUCCCAGGGAUCUAUCGGGUGAUCUUGGGUUUCCCCUCCUCCGUGUCUGGCCUUAGUGGUUUAUCUUCCCUCCAUCCCAGUCCCAAAAGCAUCAAAAAUUGGGGGAAAUGUACAACUGAGGAUUUCUAAAGGACUUUCCCAGAGAGAAGAUAGAUCCUCUGAGAUUGAUGGCGUGGAGGACAUGCUUCUCGAGCUGCUGCCAGAUGACUGACUGUGGCACGGUCUCGCAGCACCUGUCUCCUUUCGCCCCAGGGCCUGAGCCUGGCCAGCCUACAGCGAGGAUGUUCUGUUUCUGUUCACCUUCGUUUACGAUGCCCGUGUCUUCUCCUCCACCACGCUGGGGUCUGGGAGGGAAUGGACAGAGGAUGAGCUCUCCCCAGGGCCUGCUGGACCUGCCCGUAGCCCACUCUGCUCCCCUCAGCACUACCGCUCCUGCCAGGGAGGACUCCAUUUGGCAGAGCUGCUUCCAGGUGCCCACCUUGACCUGUGCCUCAGCUUUUCUCAGCUGGCUGAUGGUUUUCAGCCUCUUUCCGCCCCUGCUGUCCCUCACAGCACUACUGUUUCGUGUUGCACACUCACUCAGCUCCGUGAACUUGUGAGAACACAGCCGAUUCACCUGAGCAGGGCCUCUGAGACCCUGGACCAGUGGUCUCACAUGGUGCUUUGCCUGCAAACCCUGCCUGAACACAGGUUCAGGUGCAGCUCAAGAAAAGCCCUGAAAGGAGCGUUUGUCUGCGCUCAGGACUCAGAAGCCUUUGCGUCACUGGUCCACAGCCCGGGACGCAGCAGAAGGCCAGGCCGUCGAGCCCUGUGGACGAACCGUCAGAACCCUUGGCUUGCCCACGUGGAAAAGGGAUAGAGGUUGGGUUUCCCCCCUUUUAUAGAUGGUCACACACCUGGGUGUUAGAUGAGGUUGUAUGUGUCAUGAAUACUUUUUGUAAUGAUUGAUUAAAUGCAACAUAGUUUAUCUAA